GCGCCGGUGGUGUAAGGCGAACAUCGCUGCCCGGAAAGCAGAAGAUGUGGGUUCGAGUCCCACCUGGCGCA
rnacentral:tRNA from 1 species